CCUACGGGUGGCAGCAGUGGGGGAUAUUGCACAAUGGGGGGAACCCUGAUGCAGCGACGCCGCGUGGGUGAAGGAGCGUUUCGGCGCGUAAAGCCCUAUCGGCAGGGAAGAAGAUGACGGUACCUGACCAAGAAGCCCCGGCUAACUACGUGCCAGCAGCCGCGGUAAUACGUAGGGAGCAAGCGUUGUUCGGAAUGACUGGGCGUAAAGGGUGCGUAGGCGGUUAUACAAGUUAGAAGUGAAAUACCCAGGGCUUAACUCGGGUGCUGCUUCUAAAACUGUAAGACUUGAGUGCAGUAGAGGUUAGUGGAAUUCCUAGUGUAGCGGUGGAAUGCGUAGAUAUUAGGAGGAACACCAGAGGCGAAGGCGGCUAACUGGACUGCAACUGACGCUGAGGCACGAAAGUGUGGGGAGCAAACAGGAUUAGAUACCCUUGUAGUC
rnacentral:rRNA from 1 species